CUUGAGGUCGGUCUUCUUGAUCUCGGCCUUGAAGGCCUCGGUCUCGCCGUUGGCGUCGUCCUUAGCCAGGAGGUCCAUGAGGAUUGGCUGCCGUUCCUAUCCGUAAUAUAAUUAAAACAAACGAGGAAAGGUAUCUGCCCACCUCCCUCCCAGAAUCCCGAAGUUAAUGCGAGUAUUUAACAAUGCUUUCCUUUUUUUUGGUCUGCCUGGUAUCCCCACCUGAAAUCAGCUGUCCCUUCAUUUAUCCUGGGGUUCUUUGUUAGCCAAGUCGAGUCCGUGGUUUGGGCAGUUUACGAGCUAGAGCGCAAGGGCGCUGAGCGGUUCCGAAGGGAGCAGAGGCAGCCCUAACGAGAGCGCCUUUAAGCCCUUUCCCUGAGCUGCGGCCGCAGGAGCAGAGAUCAAGCGGGGCUCCUCGGUUCUGGGUGCCGCCGGGCCCGAUGCUCCUUAAUGUCGUUGGAUGGGCGAGGCGCCGGACGCGAGGAACGAACGGGAUGGCGAGGUCCUCACGUGUUCCCAGGCCACAAAUCGGUUUCCCACAUGCAGAUGAUUCGACUUGGUUUCAAUUCUUCCUGUAUCUGUUCCUUUCUUUUCUUUCGAUCCUUGUCCAAGUUGGAGGAAAUAUGCUCUUUUAGUUUUCUCCCUUCUUCUUUUUCAUUAAAUGUACAUGUGUGCGUGCGCGCAGGGGAGAAAAAGAAACCUAAGCUUUUGCAAAACUCUCUCCCCACUGUUUUCUUUGAGCGUGCAAAUAGAAGAAACCAGAACAGCUACCAAGAGGCUACAGGUCAGAGACACGUGUACACUUUCUCUGGCUUAACAAAACCUGGCUGUCCUUCCCCGCGCGCUUUCCUCGAUUCUUCCUUCUUAGGUCCCAUUAACAAGGGGAGAAGGGACAGGAUAAUUUUAAAUGUCCAUUAUUUACAAGUGGAAAUGUACCGAGGAA